GCUGCGCUUAAAAACCUCCCCACCUCCGAGGAAAGGUGCCCUAAUUGGACUAUAUACCUGUGAGUUAAGAGCACUGCGGGUGCAGCCACUUCAGAAUUGACUUGUCAAUGACUUGUUGUCGUAUCAGCCUUGCUGAUUUGUGCAGGAGAGGGCGAAAGAGAAACACGGAUCCGAUCACCGAAUGACCGGAAGAAUCAGAAAUCAGGAAGACCAAAAUUUUAAUAAGGAAUGGGGAAAAUUUAUAAUUUGUCUUAAAAACCAUUUUAAACAGUUAAAACCGUUAGUAGGACUGGGAUAACACUUGUAGUUUAAUGGUGAAUUUUGGACAUAAUGGAGAUGUAAAAUAUUUGGAUUAUCAUAAAAGAUGCAGGAGGAAAUGAUUAACCAUAGGACCCACAAAGAGGAGGAAGUAAGUCCAGGAGAUUCUUUGGAAUCUUGUUUUUAUGUUGUGUAUUGGAUAUGUGAUUGUAAAACUUUGAUCUGAAAACCAAAUAAACAUUUUUUUUAAAAAAAAGCACCAAAUGAAACAAACAAAACAAAAAUAACCCAAAGUAUCUGUUUUGUCCCAAAUAACCUCUCCAAAGAGAAACUUGAGUGAUUGCUGGGGGAAUAUGUUGGUACAGAUCUGGUCACGUAUGAAAAGAAGGGGAACUAGACAUAGAAUUGUAGAGUUGGAAGGGACCCUGAGGGUCGUCUGGUCCAACCCACUGCAAUACAGGAAUCUCAACAUACAAUUCCAUGUGGCAUCACAUCAGGUUUUCAGACAAAGCCACUUCUCAAACUCUUGCCCGUCCAUCUUUUCACCCAAAGGUUGCCUGGUGUUUUCCACUGAAAGGCUACUUCCAUACAAGCUGCUGCUAAUAACACCACAACUAACUUAUUAUGUGCUCCUAAUGUUUCCAAAGCUGAAGCAGGAGCUAAAACAAAAAUUGUGAAUUGGAGCACAAUCCCAUCACAUGUGCAAGAGAGCCAACAGUGCCACCAUCUCUCCAAUAUGGGGUGAAAUUGAGUUGUUAACAAAGUGGAGCUUUGAAAGAGCAAUUUAAGUUUUAUAUAUGCCUUUUAUAUUCAAGUUGUUAUUUUUAAGCCAGCCUUGGACUGUGUAGCCAUGUUCACGUUUCUCCAAAGCCAGCCCAUCUUCCCAAGCCCUCUGUAGACUGUUUGUGUCACCCAUGACGGCAGUGAUCAAUAU